rnacentral:rRNA from 1 species
CCUACGGGAGGCAGCAGUGAGGAAUAUUGGUCAAUGGGCGUAAGCCUGAACCAGCCAAGUCGCGUGAGGGAUGACUGCCCUACGGGUUGUAAACUUCUUUUAUAAAGGAAUAAAGUGAGGCACGUGUGCCUUUUUGUAUGUACUUUAUGACUAAGGAUCGGCUAACUCCGUGCCAGCAGCCGCGGUAAUACGGAGGAUCCGAGCGUUAUCCGGAUUUAUUGGGUUUAAAGGAAGCGUAGAUGGGUUGUUAAGUCAGUUGUGAAAGUUUGCGGCUCAACCGUAAAAUUGCAAUUGAUACUGGCAGCCUUGAGUACAGUUGAGGUAGGCGGAAUUCGUGGUGUAGCGGUGAAAUGCUUAGAUAUCACGAAGAACCCCGAUUGCGAAGGCAGCUUACUAAACUGUGACUGACAUUGAUGCUCGAAAGUGUGGGUAUCAAACAGGAUUAGAUACCCCAGUAGUC